GACGAACGCUGGCGGCGUGCCUAAUACAUGCAAGUAGAACGCUGAAGAGAGGAGCUUGCUCUUCUUGGAUGAGUUGCGAACGGGUGAGUAACGCGUAGGUAACCUGCCUUGUAGCGGGGGAUAACUAUUGGAAACGAUAGCUAAUACCGCAUAACAAUGGAUGACACAUGUCAUUUAUUUGAAAGGGGCAAUUGCUCCACUACAAGAUGGACCUGCGUUGUAUUAGCUAGUAGGUGAGGUAACGGCUCACCUAGGCGACGAUACAUAGCCGACCUGAGAGGGUGAUCGGCCACACUGGGACUGAGACACGGCCCAGACUCCUACGGGAGGCAGCAGUAGGGAAUCUUCGGCAAUGGGGGCAACCCUGACCGAGCAACGCCGCGUGAGUGAAGAAGGUUUUCGGAUCGUAAAGCUCUGUUGUAAGUCAAGAACGAGUGUGAGAGUGGAAAGUUCACACUGUGACGGUAGCUUACCAGAAAGGGACGGCUAACUACGUGCCAGCAGCCGCGGUAAUACGUAGGUCCCGAGCGUUGUCCGGAUUUAUUGGGCGUAAAGCGAGCGCAGGCGGUUUGAUAAGUCUGAAGUUAAAGGCUGUGGCUCAACCAUAGUUCGCUUUGGAAACUGUCAAACUUGGGUGCAGAAGGGGAGAGUGGAAUUCCAUGUGUAGCGGUGAAAUGCGUAGAUAUAUGGAGGAACACCGGUGGCGAAAGCGGCUCUCUGGUCUGUAACUGACGCUGAGGCUCGAAAGCGUGGGGAGCGAACAGGAUUAGAUACCCUGGUAGUCCACGCCGUAAACGAUGAGUGCUAGGUGUUGGAUCCUUUCCGGGAUUCAGUGCCGCAGCUAACGCAUUAAGCACUCCGCCUGGGGAGUACGACCGCAAGGUUGAAACUCAAAGGAAUUGACGGGGGCCCGCACAAGAGGUGGAGCAUGUGGUUUAAUUCGAAGCAACGCGAAGAACCUUACCAGGUCUUGACAUCCCGAUGCUAUUUCUAGAGAUAGAAAGUUACUUCGGUACAUCGGUGACAGGUGGUGCAUGGUUGUCGUCAGCUCGUGUCGUGAGAUGUUGGGUUAAGUCCCGCAACGAGCGCAACCCCUAUUGUUAGUUGCCAUCAUUCAGUUGGGCACUCUAGCGAGACUGCCGGUAAUAAACCGGAGGAAGGUGGGGAUGACGUCAAAUCAUCAUGCCCCUUAUGACCUGGGCUACACACGUGCUACAAUGGUUGGUACAACGAGUUGCGAGUCGGUGACGGCAAGCUAAUCUCUUAAAGCCAAUCUCAGUUCGGAUUGUAGGCUGCAACUCGCCUACAUGAAGUCGGAAUCGCUAGUAAUCGCGGAUCAGCACGCCGCGGUGAAUACGUUCCCGGGCCU
rnacentral:rRNA from 1 species